rnacentral:rRNA from 1 species
UGAGGAAUAUUGGUCAAUGGGCGGAAGCCUGAACCAGCCAAGUAGCGUGCAGGAUGACGGCCCUAUGGGUUGUAAACUGCUUUUAUACAGGAAUAAAGUUAGCCACGUGUGGUUAUUUGUAGGUACUGUAUGAAUAAGGACCGGCUAAUUCCGUGCCAGCAGCCGCGGUAAUACGGAAGGUCCAGGCGUUAUCCGGAUUUAUUGGGUUUAAAGGGAGCGUAGGCCGUCUGUUAAGCGUGUUGUGAAAUGUAGAUGCUCAACAUCUGAAUUGCAGCGCGAACUGGCAGACUUGAGUGUGCGCAACGUAGGCGGAAUUCGUGGUGUAGCGGUGAAAUGCUUAGAUAUCACGAAGAACUCCGAUUGCGAAGGCAGCUUACGGGAGCACAACUGACGCUGAAGC